UCUUGUCUGGAGCAGAUGUUUCAGGAUGGUGGAGAUUGUCGUAGAAGCGGGCGCAGAAAGCUUGGUGUUUGGAUAGGAAUGAACUAGUCAGAUCUCAGCGGGCGUAGGCGAAUAAAAAGUCAGCUUGAUCUUAACAAGUUCUGUGGAGAUUUGAAGGCAAGAAGCCAGAUACUUUGGGACCCAACACUUACCUGAACAAAUGGAUCACCCAGAAUGACCGUCUACAGGACACAACUGCAACAUGAGAAAUGACCAGUUAAAAAGCAAGCAGAAGGAGCAUGG